AUUGAGAAUUCCUGUGCGGCAUAGUAAGGUCUGAAAAAAUAGUUGAAAAAGUUAUUAUUUUCGCAAAAAAUAUCAUCUGGCUCUCUAUUUAGCACCGAUAAUUUCUUCAAGAAAAUGACUGACUUGGAAUCUCCAAGGAAGAACAAUGAUUGUUAUUUCUACUAUUAUUCUACAUGCUCGAAGGGUGAUAGCUGUGGAUUUAGGCAUGAGCCGUCGGCAUUAGGAUGUGAAACAGUGUGUUCUUUCUGGAAGGAAGGCAAGUGCUUAAACGUUCAUUGCAACUUUAGACAUAUGGAGCUAAAGUUAUAUUUUCUUUCAGAAAAACCGAAAAGCUAUACCAUGUUAUUGGGAAUCGCAGCCUGGUGGAUGCUUGAAGCCGCACUGCCCAUUUAUGCAUCAUGCAACAGCUACCUCUACCCCGAGUGAGAAUGCAGCCGAAUUAAAUAAAUCUGAAGCUGUAGUUCAGGAAAACUGUACGCAAGCCAACAAUUAUAGAAGCACGAAUACAGUCGACAAGUUAAUUGUGUCAUUUGAAGACGGUAUGCACCUUGUUAAAUAGUUCAAUAUUUAUAGUAAUUUUUACUCUUGUUAUAAUCUUCAGAGUUUAUUGCUUUUUUCAAUUAAUAAUUGCGGAAUUGAUGUUUUUUAAAUUAUAUAUAUGUAACAGAAUUAUUUUUAGUUAGUCUUUCGGAAUUGGUUCUUUCGGUUUUAACAAACCAAAUCAGAACGCAUGAUUUGUAUACUUGAUUAGACAAUUUGUAAAAGGGUUGCUUCUUUGCAUAAUUCUAUUAAAUUGUAGUAUUGAUUAACUUAUAACUCUCAGUAUUUACUGCCGAGCUUACUGGUGCUUUUAAUACAAUAGAUUGAUAAUUUAUUAUUAAAAAUUGAAUAUCAUCUUAGACCUACUGAUAUUUAUGGAUUUCCAUAUUGCAAUUUUAAGAUUUCACCGAUUCUUAGUUACACUUAGUGCAAAGAUGUAAUUCAUUAGUUGUUGGUCUGUAUAAAUUAUUCGGCACUGUGCUCAAUGAUGUUUAUGAGUAACGCUCUUACCCCUGAAUGUAAAAUUAUAGGUACUUUAAAGAAUUAAGAAUAGUGGCAGUAUUGGCCGACUAGUUAGAAGGGAGAGUUGUAGUUCUUCUUUUUCUUCUGAGAACAAGACCGAUACGCAACUCCCUUAAAAAACUAAGUAAUAAUAUUUAGCAGGUUCUACGAUCAAAAUUGCAUUUACUAUUUGGAUAUUUCGAUCUAAUGAAAAACUUUUUAUGGCUGUUAUAGUUGUGGAUAUUAUUAUAACAACUUUCCAAGUAUCCGAUUUGUAAGUGUAGAUGCACUAGAUCUGCUAGAAUCAGUUACAUUUACGUAGUCUUACCAGGUAGUUUCACAAAAAUUGGCUGUUAUAUAUAGGCACGUAAAAAUGUAUUAAAACUAAUGAAUAUUUACUCGGAGAAUGUUGUGUCACCAGUAAACUUUUAUAUAAUAUAUUUAGAGGAAUUGCUCAUUUGUUAGUAUAAUAGUUAUGGUAUUGUAAGGUGCAUUGGUGAAUAUGGGUUGGGAAGUAUGGUAUAUUUUGCUCUAUUAACCUGAUUUGGUCGUAGUACGUAACAUGAAUGAAUUGAAUAAAUGGGUCUGGCCGACCCGAGAUUAGCUGCUACAAUAGAAUUGAUCUAAAAUUAUAUAUACAUAUUUCAUAAUUGUUAUAAUAUUUUUAUUUUUUAUUUAUCAUCAGGAUGACUUAUUAUUAUUAUCCAGUCAGUUAAUUUUUGAAACACGUUUUAAAUCUGUUAAGAUAGCAAACGUUAUUUAAGAAUAAUUGAGAUAAGCAAUAAACGUCAGUAAUUUAAGAUAAUUGUUGCAAAGCACAAGCAAAUACAUUUGCGCUGAGCAAGUUCGGUGAUUUGUUGCUUACUUAUCAAACGCAUCUAGAAAGUUUGUUCCCCUGAUAUUUGCAUCGAAAUAAACUAUGAACCAAGAAACACUUCAAAUUAUCUCUUCACUGGAAACCCGGUUCCGAAGGCAGCAGCAGUUCCGACUAAGGGCAUCCGCAGACUGGCGACACUUUUGUCGCUAGACAGUCUAGUCGCCAAGAUCCGGCGACUUUGGUGCAGAAUCGCGUAAAUGGAGCGAGUAAAAGAGAUGGUUGAUUAUUUCAUAUAAUAAUUUCGAUUCGGAUAUUUUUUUAUAUAAUUAUUAUCACGUAUAGAUAUUUUCAUAAAAUGGUUUGGAAUGUUAAUGUUAAAAUAUGGCGUAUUUGUCUUACUGGAGGUACGUGAGCAAGUAGUUCUUUCUAGUCACAGCGGAAUUUAUCUCCCACCUAUUAUAAUUAUAAAAUAUAACAUAUAAAAAAAGUGAUAGGGGUAUUAAUCCAAGUGAUAAAGUGUUAUAUAAUAUAGUAGAUAUUAACUUCUACAGUCACUGUAAAUUGUUAUUGAGAACUUAAUUGAAUUACGACCAAGUAUGGAAAGCCUAAAUAAGAUUACAGUUCAGACUCUUUGAGAUAAUUAACAUGUUCAACUAAACCUUGCAAAUUGCUGAAGGGUGGAAAUAAUCAUAUUAAAAGGAAUGACGGGACAAAUAAUCAAAACGGCAAUGUUGAGAAUAAGUAAUAAUAAUGUAUUAUUUUUUAGCAUUUACCUACCUUACUUUGCACCUACAUAACAUUAAGAUGUAUCACUUUACUAUUAGGGCCUUGGUUUGGUUUCUAUUUUUCUAUCUAUGUUUUGUAUAAAUGUCGGAUAGUUUUAAAAAUUACUUUGCAAUAAAUUUGUCAUUGUCAAUAAUUAAAGUUAAUAACAGAGCUUUCACGUACCUUAGACGUGGUAUUCUAUGGUCCGGUGUAUACAAACAAAUUAAAUCUAGGGUUAUGUAUCAGUAAACAAAAGUUAAAUAACA